rnacentral:rRNA from 1 species
GUGAGUAACACGUGGAUAACCUACCUAUAAGACUGGGAUAACUUCGGGAAACCGGAGCUAAUACCGGAUAAUAUUUUGAACCGCAUGGUUCAAAAGUGAAAGGCGGUCUUGCUGUCACUUAUAGAUGGAUCCGCGCUGCAUUAGCUAGUUGGUAAGGUAACGGCUUACCAAGGCAACGAUGCAUAGCCGACCUGAGAGGGUGAUCGGCCACACUGGAACUGAGACACGGUCCAG